rnacentral:rRNA from 1 species
AAUAUUGCGCAAUGGGGGAAACCCUGACGCAGCGACGCCGCGUGAACGAUGAAGGCCUNCGGGUCNUNAAGUUCUGUCCAAGAGGNCGAUAAUGACGGUACUCUUGGAGGAAGCCCCGGCUAACUACGUGCCAGCAGCCGCGGUAACACGUAGGGGGCAAGCGUUAUCCGGAAUUAUUGGGCGUAAAGGGUGCGUAGGCGGCUUCUUAAGCGUGGGGUGAAAUGCAAUAGCUCAACUAUUGUAAGCCUUGCGAACUGGGGAGCUUGAGUGCAGGAGAGGAAAGCGGAAUUCCUAGUGUAGCGGUGAAAUGCGUAGAUAUUAGGAGGAACACCAGUGGCGAAGGCGGCUUUCUGGACUGUAACUGACGCUGAGGCACGAAAGCGUGGGUAGCGAACA